rnacentral:rRNA from 1 species
AUUGAACGCUGGCGGCAGGCCUAACACAUGCAAGUCGAGCGGAUGAGUGGAGCUUGCUCCAUGAUUCAGCGGCGGACGGGUGAGUAAUGCCUAGGAAUCUGCCUGGUAGUGGGGGACAACGUUUCGAAAGGAACGCUAAUACCGCAUACGUCCUACGGGAGAAAGCAGGGGACCUUCGGGCCUUGCGCUAUCAGAUGAGCCUAGGUCGGAUUAGCUAGUAGGUGAGGUAAUGGCUCACCUAGGCGACGAUCCGUAACUGGUCUGAGAGGAUGAUCAGUCACACUGGAACUGAGACACGGUCCAGACUCCUACGGGAGGCAGCAGUGGGGAAUAUUGGACAAUGGGCGAAAGCCUGAUCCAGCCAUGCCGCGUGUGUGAAGAAGGUCUUCGGAUUGUAAAGCACUUUAAGUUGGGAGGAAGGGCAGUAAGUUAAUACCUUGCUGUUUUGACGUUACCAACAGAAUAAGCACCGGCUAACUUCGUGCCAGCAGCCGCCGCAG